rnacentral:lncRNA from 1 species
GACAAAAACAAAGUUGAGAUUAAAGUCUGAUUUUGGGGGGUGCCAGGUUCACCAGUGUCAACAAAGUACUGAAGAGCAGAUAUGCGGUGGAUUUAUUACGGGUCUUGACCUAAUAGGAUCCCAAAUGUCUAACACCGUGGACUCGUUAUUUAAUUUGUGGAUGUUUUGCAAUUGAUGAAUAAGUAAUGUGUAAGCGUUGUAGAGAGGCUUGUUACGGUCAUACUCAACUUGUUCCAGGAGUCCCUCCCCUUCCCGUGCAAAGUGUUCACUUCCUAGUAAGGUGUAACAAAUCAAUCUGUAACUCCCAACUGUCCUUUUUUUCGGCGAUGGAAAAAAGUUCGCAAAUAAUUUCGUUUUAGCGUUUGAACGCGUGGAAUAGCUCGCAGUGCAAUUGUUCGCCCAGGCAAACGUGCGCGAGACAAACAAAACUGGCAAAAAGGGAAAAAGACAGUAAAAGGAGCAAAGAUAUGUUGUUAUGCAUGGAAAUAUGUUGUUAAAUGCAUGGAAAUAAAAUGAAAUGUUUACAGCGGACUCCCCCUCCUUUUGAAUGUUUGCGCGUGACGUGAAACUUAUGUUUGCGCGUGACGUGAAACUUAUUUUAUUUUUACGAUGACGACAAGAACAUUGCACAACUGGAAGAACAGUAGGCUAGUACAACCAUUGUUAAUUUUUAAUACCACUGUUUGUUUGUUUUUUAUAAAACCGCAUAGCCUAUUGAGUAGCCUAUAUCCAUGUGAACGGACAACAUCCAAACAAGUGAUGUCUUCUCCAAAAAGGCAGUUCGUUGUCUUUCAAACGCUCCUGUUUUGUGGGGAGGGAGAAAACAGAACAAUUAAAAAGAUUGACAGGUGGGUUUUCACUGUCAGAGUGACGCUCCGGAGGGGUGGAGUAAAGAAAGAGAGGCAGGAAAGGCAACUCGAUGUGUCUGUCUAUCAGUUGAGACUGUCUGAACCGCUCACGCAUCCUGAACGCGCGAUACAUGUUUCAGCGAAGAGCCGCGAGACCAAGAACGCCGUUUCGCUCCCUCGAGGCUUUUCACCGAACGAGAGGACGGAAAUACAGUUGGACGGGCUCUCCAUAACUGGAAGUUUCUUCCGUUUUGCUACAAACUAUUGCCAUAAUCUAAGGAGAACCUAAGGAAGCUUUUUUUUCCCCCCUGUGUGUUUCUGCACCGUUAGACAUGGACGGGAGAUAUAUCUGAGCUCUUGGCAAUCAUGCUAUGACUUAUAAUUAAUUAACGUGUUGGCCAGAUACACUUACUUUUUUAUUUACAGACGUUUUUAGUCUGUAAAAACAUCUACAACCUCUCAAGACCUAUUGACCCCUCUUAGACUUUGCAUCGGCUCAAAGUGACUUUCAAGAGGUGGAAUAAAAAACAGACUCUGAAGAGAAGAGGAGCGCGUUAAUACAUGCUUUAUUACAUUUUUUAAAUAAAUAAUUCUUUUCGCUCGUCACUGGCAUUUUGAUUCUGUAUGAGAAGCCAAGUGGAGGGGACGACGACAGCAUGCCGCGGAGAAAGCAGCAAGCGCCGAGGCGGUCUUCAGGUAAGCGGUGCAUGCAUGGUUUGUUUACUAAUAAGAGUGCAUAGGGAGGAAAAACAAAAUACAUAAAAGUACUUACACUUCAUUAUUGUGUUGUUUGAAAUGCUUAAUCUAAACAUUACAUCCAGUUUUGGGACUUUUAUUAUUUUUUCAUUUAUUUUUUUUACUUACAAAGAAUGCCAAAACAAAGGUACUUUCCCCUUCAGAAUGUAUUCGAUGUGCUUGUAAAAAACAAAACAAAAAAACCUGAGUAGAACGCGUGAGUAACUUUUUUGAAGUUGUGCCAAAUUAAAACUACUCAGUCCACCGUGGGCUAUAUAGUCGAGUGAAAAUGUAGUUUCAGAGUGCUCCAGUUUGUCUAUUUAGAUGCGGAUUGCCAUCCUUGAUUUGAUGCUUGAUUGAUCGCCUGUCAUGGGGCUGCCUUUGAUCUAUUCAUUCCUGAUAAACAUCAGUAAAUCAUUCACCAUGGAAACACGCAUGCGCCGUGGGGCCGCAGCCACUCAAAGGACAACUUUUGCCCCCGUCGUGCGGGAAAAUAGAGAAAGGAAAG